rnacentral:misc_RNA from 1 species
GAAUAAGGGAACAAAUGGAUGGGCUUCACCUCCGGGAGAUAAUUUCAAUCUCCGAGGUACGAAUUACUUCACAAAAAAGACGAAAAUACCUUCAGGUGAAUGGCUUCUACAACCCGCCGGAGUUGAUUGGCUCCGAUCAAAUUCAAAACUCGAUCACGUCCUCUCUCGGAACGACAACCGUGUAAUGAACGCGCUGAAGAAAUCUCAUUCACAAGGUGAGUUUCUUAAGACUUUUGUCCUCGCUGUAAACCUUCAAAUCCCCGGUAGAGAUCAGCACAGUGCGGUUUUCUACUUCGCUACUGAACAAAACCGCCCGCUCGA